GACGAACGCUGGCGGCGUGCCUAAUACAUGCAAGUAGAACGCUGAAGGAGGAGCUUGCUCUUCUGGAUGAGUUGCGAACGGGUGAGUAACGCGUAGGUAACCUGCCUGGUAGCGGGGGAUAACUAUUGGAAACGAUAGCUAAUACCGCAUAACAGUAGAUGUUGCAUGACAUUUACUUAAAAGGUGCAAUUGCAUCACUACCAGAUGGACCUGCGUUGUAUUAGCUAGUUGGUGGGGUAACGGCUCACCAAGGCGACGAUACAUAGCCGACCUGAGAGGGUGAUCGGCCACACUGGGACUGAGACACGGCCCAGACUCCUACGGGAGGCAGCAGUAGGGAAUCUUCGGCAAUGGACGGAAGUCUGACCGAGCAACGCCGCGUGAGUGAAGAAGGUUUUCGGAUCGUAAAGCUCUGUUGUGAGAGAAGAACGAGUGUGAGAGUGGAAAGUUCACACUGUGACGGUAUCUUACCAGAAAGGGACGGCUAACUACGUG
rnacentral:rRNA from 1 species